GAUGAAGAACGUAGCGAAAUGCGAUAAGUAGUGUGAAUUGCAGAAUUCAGUGAAUCAUCGAAUCUUUGAACGCACAUUGCGCCCCUUGGUAUUCCAUAGGGCAUGCCUGUUCGAGCGUCAUUUGUACCUUCAAGCUUUGCUUGGUGUUGGGUGUUUGUCUCGCCUUUGCGUGUAGACUCGCCUUAAAAUAAUUGGCAGCCGGCGUAUUGAUUUCGGAGCGCAGUACAUCUCGCGCUUUGCACUCAUAACGACAGCGUCCAAAAGUACAUUUUACACUCUUGACCUCGGAUCAGGUAGGGAUACCCGCUGAACUUAAGCAUAUCAAUAAGCGGAGGA
rnacentral:misc_RNA from 1 species